UGAAAGUGUAGAGACACACGCACACGUUC
rnacentral:piRNA from 1 species